rnacentral:rRNA from 1 species
GACGAACGCUGGCGGCGUGCUUAACACAUGCAAGUCGAACGGAAAGGCCCUGCUUUUGUGGGGUGCUCGAGUGGCGAACGGGUGAGUAACACGUGAGUAACCUGCGCUUGUCUUUGGGAUAACUUCUGGAAACUGGGGCUAAUACCGGAUAUGAGCUCCUUCUGCAUGGGGGUGGUUGUAAAGUUUCGGCGGUUGGGGAUGGACUCGUGGCUUAUCAGCUUGUUGGUGGGGUAGUGGCGUACCAAGGCUUUGACGGGUUGCCGGCCUGAGAGGGUGACAGGCCACAUUGUGACUGAGAAACGGGCAAGACUCCUACGGGAGGAAGCAGUGGGGAACAGUGCACACUGGGCGGCAGCAUGAUGCAGCAACGCCGCGUGCGAGAUGACGGCCUUCGGGUUGUAACCCGCUUGCGCCCGUGACGAAGCGUGAGUGACGGUAAUGGGUAAAGAAGCAACGGCUAACUACGUG